CUCCGCAUGAAUGUGAUUCUGGAUAGCACAGUUAAUAAGGACUUGUUAUCAUGUCUGUGUGUCCUAGUCUUCCUGUGUCUCUCUUAACAUCACAACUACUAGGCUGAAUCCAAGUCCAGCAACUCAAGGAAUGGUGUAUGUACACAAUGCUGCUUUCUAGGACACUCAUUUGAAAUAUAUGCACAAAACUAUGGUAUGUUGAAGACUGUCACAGAAAAGCUACUGUGAGUCUACAUAAGAGAAGAAAGAACAGAUGUUAAGAAUGGUGCAGUAUGCCAGUGUUUGCAAAUGAAAACCUGAAGCAACUUUAGUCAUUACAAGAGUAGAGGCAGAUGGGAGAACAUCAGCUUAACUGGGAGCAUCUGCCACACCUGGAGAGGAAAAUCAGCCCUUGCUUUCUCAUCAGCCUGAAGGAUGGCAUUACCAUGGAAGAAGCAUCGCCUGCUACUUUAAACACACAUUUUACGAAACCUCUCCCAUGAGUGUGAGUUCAGCUGGUCAUUUAGCAAAGGACGUUACUUAGUUUGCUUUAGUUUCCUGUUAUUUCACCAGUAAGUCCAUGGUCUUGGGUUAAUCGGUGUCUCCUUCCUAUUUGGCUUUUCCAAGGCAGAUGGCACUGAUCAUAGCAGCUGUAUUCCUAAGUUAGUAUUUUCAGUAUAUGAGGAAGAAAAUGGAGUGAGUAAAACACAUGGAGACAAAAACCAAGACCAAUUCAGGUUAAACAAUUAUGCAAAAUCGAUAUGUCAAAU